UGAGAAAGCAUUUGACAAAAUUCAACACCCCUUCAUGAUAAAAGUCCUGGAAAGUAUAGGAAUUCAAGGCCCAUACCUAAGCAUAGUAAAAGCCAUAUACAGCAAACCAGUUGCUAACAUUAAACUAAAUGGAGAGAAACAUGAAGCAAUCCCACUAAAAUCAGGGACUAGACAUGGCUGCCCACUCUCUCCCUACUUAUUCAAUAUACUUCUUGAAGUUCUAGCCAGAGCAAUCAGACAACAAAAGGAGGUGAAGUGGAUACAGAUCGGAAAAGAAAAAGUCAAAAUAUCACUGUUUGCAAUGAUAUGAUAGUAUAUUUAAUUGAUCCCAAAAGUUCCACCAGAGAACUACUAAAGCUGAUAAACAACUUCUGCAAAGUGGCUGGGUAUAAAAUUAACUCAAAUAAAUCAGUAGCCUUCCUCUACA
rnacentral:lncRNA from 1 species